GAGAGUGCGCGUCUGCCGGUGCAGGCCGCGGUCUUCAAAACCGUUGACGGGGCGUUGCACGUUCCGUGGUGGGUUCGACUCCCAUGCACUCUCGCA
rnacentral:tRNA from 1 species